rnacentral:rRNA from 1 species
CCCUUAGAUGUCCUGGGCCGCACGCGCGUUACACUGAUGCAUUCAACGAGCUUAUAACCUUGGCCGAGAGGCCUGGGCAAUCUUGUUAACGUGCAUCGUGAUAGGGAUAGAUUAUUGAAAUUAUUAAUCUUGAACGAGGAAUUCCUAGUAAACGCAGAUCAUCAAUCUGCAUUGAUUACGUCCCUGCCCCUUGUACACACCGCCCGUCGCACCUACCGAUUGGACGGUUUAGUGAGGGCCUCGGAUUGGUCUCGGCCCGCUCUUUACCGGGCGGCGCCGUUGGUCGAGAAGACGCUCGAACUUGAUCGUUUAGAGGAAGUAAAAGUCGUAACA